AACAAUUCUCGACAACAGAUAUCUCAGCUCUCGCAUCGAUGAAGAACGUAGUGAAAUGCUAUACUUGGUGUGAAUUGUAGAAUCUCGUGAACCAUUGAGUCUUUGAACGCAAGUUGUGCUCGAAGCCAUUAGGCGGAGGGCACGUCUGGUUGGGUGUCAUGCAACG
rnacentral:rRNA from 1 species